GAGAUGCUUCAUUCAAAUAUCUGCCCUAUCAACUUUCGAUGGUAGGAUAGUAGGCCUACCAUGGUUUCAACGGGUAACAGGGAAUAAGGGUUCGAUUCCGGAGGAGGGAGCCUGAGAAACGGCUACCACAUCCAAGGAAGGCAGCAGGCGCGCAAAUUACCCAAUCCCGACACGGGGAGGUAGUGACAAUAAAUAACAAUAUAGGGCCCUCUUGGGUCUUAUAAUUGGAAUGAGUACAAUUUAAAUCCCUUAACGAGGAACAAUUGGAGGGGCAAGUCUGGUGCCAGCAGCCGCGGUAAUUCCAGCUCCAAUAGCGUAUAUUAAAGUUGUUGCAGUUAAAAAGCUCGUAGUUGAACUUCAGACCUGGCGUGGGCGGUCUGCUUAACGGCAUGUACUGUCGUGGCUGAGUCUUACCUCUUGGUGAGCCAGUGUGCCCUUUAUUGGUGUGCAUUGGGGAACCAGGACUUUUACCUUGAGAAAAUUAGAGUGUUCAA
rnacentral:rRNA from 1 species